UCUCCGUUGGUGAACCAGCGGAGGGAUCAUUACCGAGUUUACAACUCCCAAACCCCUAUGUGAACGUUACCAAACUGUUGCCUCGGCGGGAAAUUCAUGCCCCGGGCGCGUCGCAGCCCCGGACCAAGGCGCCCGCCGGAGGACCAACCAAAGCUCUUUUGUAUGUCCCUCGCGGACUUUUAUAAUUCUGAACCAUCUCGGCGCCCCUAGCGGGCGUUUCGAAAAUGAAUCAAAACUUUCAACAACGGAUCUCUUGGUUCUG
rnacentral:misc_RNA from 1 species